GAGAAGCGAGACCGCGAGGUGGAGCAAAACUGAAAAAGGCGUCCCAAGUUCGGAUUGUAGGCUGCAACUCGCCUACAUGAAGCUGGAAUCGCUAGUAAUCGCGGAUCAGAAUGCCGCGGUGAAUACGUUCCCGGGUCUUGUACACACCGCCCGUCACACCAUGAGAGUCGGGAACACCCGAAGUCCGUAGCCUAACCGCAAGGGGGGCGCGGCCGAAGGUGGGUUCGAUAAUUGGGGUGAAGUCGUAACAAGGUAAC
rnacentral:rRNA from 1 species